rnacentral:rRNA from 1 species
GAUGAACGCUGGCGGCGUGCCUAAUACAUGCAAGUCGAACGCACAGCGAAAGGUGCUUGCACCUUUCAAGUGAGUGGCGAACGGGUGAGUAACACGUGGAUAACCUACCUCAAGGUUGGGGAUAACAUUUGGAAACAGAUGCUAAUACCGAAUAAAACUUCGUAUCGCAUGAUACAAGGUUAAAAGGCGCUACGGCGUCACCUAGAGAUGGAUCCGCGGUGCAUUAGUUAGUUGGUGGGUAAAGGCCUACCAAGACAAUGAUGCAUAGCCGAGUUGAGAGACUGAUCGGCCACAUUGGGACUGAGACACGGCCCAAACUCCUACGGGAGGCUGCAGUAGGGAAUCGUUCCACAAUGGGCGAAAGCCUGAUGGAGCAACGCCGCGUGUGUGAUGAAGGCUUUCGGGUCGUAAAGCACUGUUGUAUGGGAAGAACAGCUAGAGUAGGAAUGACUUUAGUUGACGUACC